rnacentral:lncRNA from 1 species
CACGACUGCUGGGACUUCCAGUGAAGCUGCAGGCACCAGAGGGGUUUCCCCUAGGAAGCCAGAAUAACCGAGGUUUGCAAAGUUAAAAAUAAGAGCCCAGAUGCGGAAGGCACAGCUCAACCCUCCAAUGAACAUUUGCUUGGUGCCUCUCAUAUGUCAAGGAAGAAGGUGAAUUGGAAACUAGACACAAAAGUGGACAUGCUCUAUGACUCCGUUUCUAUGAAGUUCAAGAACAGCCCCUGCCCCCCAGAGAUGGUUCUGAGACAGAAGAAAUGUUGCUACGGGCAUGGAUUUCUGGAUGGUUUCUAAGAAUUGCUUGAGUUUUGGUGAAAAGAGAAUUCUCCCAAAUAGAAUCAUCUUGGAUUUUCCAAUUACAUGCUCUAAUUGAAGCAGAGACCCUGGGCUCUAAAUCACUCUGCAAGCUGUGUACUGGGCUUGACUCACUGGAAGCAGAGUAGCUGGCCAAGGCCAGCAUGGCCCAUGGGCCCAG